UGCCAAUCAGCAGUGCAGAGAUGUGACGCCUGUGUAAUUUGGAUUCAAUGCCCCCCAGGGUCAGACAGAUGAACCCAGCAGGUGAGCUUGGCAGGAAGUCUGACUGCAGUCCUUGCUGAGAGGAUGACACAGGCCAAAGAGAGGAAGGAAAACAACAAGCCAGAGCUCUACAGCACUUUGCAGUUGCAGAGCUUUCCAGGUUUCUCUGGAAAAUGGAAGAAAAGGAGAGCAAAGGGCAGAAGAAGAUGGGUUGACAACUGCCUUCAGAAAGCUGACUCAGGGAUUCACCUACUGGUUUGUUUUCUAGGUCGGAAACUGCGAUGCGAUGAAUGCGCGCCACCCACAGCUGGAACAAUCCGCCGUUUCUCCCCAGUUGAGUUUGACAACAACUCUCCAACCCCGGGAGCGUCCUGCCAGCCGGCCUAGUGGAAGUGACCUUGUGUCGCUGCUGCCUUUCCGAGAUGGCGCCCACCAGCAGUGGCUCUGAAUCUUCCUGGCCUCCUCCUCGCCAUUUGCGCCCUGCCAUGAAGAAGGCCUUCUCCCUGACGACACUACCCGGUUUUGGAGCCCUGCGCUCCCUGCUGUUCUCCUGCCCAGUCUCUGUUCACUUAACCCUUCCCCCCACAUUUUCAAUUUCAUUUUCCAGAGUUGCCCAGUCU